rnacentral:rRNA from 1 species
AGCGUAGGCGGUGAAGUAAGUUAGAUGUGAAAGCCCGGGGCUCAACCUCGGGACUGCAUUUAAAACUGCUUUGCUGGAGUGCAGGAGAGGAAAGCGGAAUUCCUAGUGUAGCGGUGAAAUGCGUAGAUAUUAGGAGGAACACCAGUGGCGAAGGCGGCUUUCUGGACUGUAACUGACGCUGAGGCUCGAAAGCGUGGGGAGCGAACA